UACAGAGGUCCCGAGGGUUGUUCGGAUUCACUGGGCGUAAAGGGUGCGUAGGUGGCCUGAAAAGUUUGAUGUGAAAGCUCAGGGCUUAACCCUGAAAUGGCGUUGAAUACUGUCGGGCUGGAGGUUUGGAGGGGGGACUGGAAUUCUUGGUGUAGCAGUGAAAUGCGUAGAUAUCAAGAGGAACACCAGUGGCGAAGGCGAGUCCCUGGACAACACCUGACACUGAGGCACGAAAGCUAGGGGAGCAAAAGGG
rnacentral:rRNA from 1 species